rnacentral:tRNA from 1 species
GGCUCGUUGGUCAAGAGGUUAAGACAUCGCCCUCUCACGGCGAUACCGGGGGUUCAAUUCCCCCACGAGUCACCA